GGCCACCUCAGGGGGCUUUACCAUUGGCAGAGUAUUACUUUGCCGUACAAGCAACGGAGACAGAAA
rnacentral:ncRNA from 1 species